GACGAGCGCUGGCGGCGUGUUUAACACAUGCAAGUCGAACGGAAAGGCCCUGCUUUUGUGGGGUGCUCGAGUGGCGAACGGGUGAGUAACACGUGAGUAACCUGCCCUUGACUUUGGGAUAACUUCAGGAAACUGGGGCUAAUACCGGAUAGGAGCUCCUGCUGCAUGGUGGGGGUUGGAAAGUUUCGGCGGUUGGGGAUGGACUCGCGGCUUAUCAGCUUGUUGGUGGGGUAGUGGCUUACCAAGGCUUUGACGGGUAGCCGGCCUGAGAGGGUGACCGGCCACAUUGGGACUGAGAUACGGCCCAGACUCCUACGGGAGGCAGCAGUGGGGAAUAUUGCACAAUGGGCGGAAGCCUGAUGCAGCAACGCCGCGUGCGGGAUGACGGCCUUCGGGUUGUAAACCGCUUUCGCCUGUGACGAAGCGUGAGUGACGGUAAUGGGUAAAGAAGCACCGGCUAACUACGUG
rnacentral:rRNA from 1 species